UUGUAUGUGACUAUAUCUCAAUAAAACUAACUUUAAAAAAAAGAACCCCCCACCCAAAAUAAAAAAAAAUCAAAUGCUACAUUAAAAAAGGAGUUUUCAGGGCUGCCAACCUUUAUAGAUGAGAUUGAAGGGCAGUAUAGUUUUCCUACAUUA